rnacentral:lncRNA from 1 species
AAAAAAAAAAAAAAGUCAAGAACAUAGGACCGAAAAAAUCAGCCAGAGUAAAGUCAGCUGCUUCAACAAUGUCAAAGUCUUAGGGGGAGGAAAAAUAAUUAUCCCUCUAAGUUCUUGGCUGGGUUCCUAUACAGAAGGCAAAUUAAUAAGAGAAAAAUUUUAAAUAAGUUUAAAUGAGAGAUAAGGGAAAAAUUAUAAUUCACAGAUGUAGCUUAGAAUUCUGGCUUAAGUACAUUUCAGCUAAAGACAAGGGAAAGUGUGUGUGGGAGACUAGUUAUGCAAAAGUAACCAUGAAAAGUAUAGUAAGAAGAACAAGGUUUGGGGUUCUUGCCAUGGUACAAUGGAUUAAGAUACUGACUGCUCAGGUUGCUGCAGAGGCAAGGGUUCAAUCCUCAGCCUAGCACAGUGGGUUGAAAAUGAUCCAGUGUUUAAAAGGAUCACAUUGCUGCAGCUGUGGCUAGGAUUCAAUCUCUGGCCUGGGAACAUCCAUAUGCUGUGGGUACAUCCAUAAAAUAAAAUAAAAUUAAAAAAAAAAAAAAAAAGAGGAGCAAGGUUUCUUAUACAGAUUCAAGUCUUUAAAUUGCUGGAGUUCCCGUCGUGGCGCAGUGGUUAACGAAUCUGACUAGGAACCAUGAGGUUGCGGGUUCGGUCCCUGCCCUUGCUCAGUGGGUUAACGAUCCGGCGUUGCCAUGAGCUGUGGUGUAGGUUGCAGAUGCGGCUCGGAUCCAGCGUUGCUGUGGCUCUGGCGUAGGCCAGUGGCUACAGCUCCGAUUCAACCCCUAGCCUGGGAACCUCCACAUGCCGCCGGAGCGGCCCAAAGAAAUAGCAAAAAGACAAAAAAUAAAUAAAUAAAUUGCUGCCUUCUCCUUUUCACUAUUGAAUAUGUUAGCUGUGGAUUUUUACAUGUGGCCUUUAUUAUGUUGAGGUGGUUUUCCUCUGUGUCCAAUUUUUUUGGAGCUUUUUAAAUCAUAAGUGGACAUUGAAUUUUAUCAAAAGCUUUUUCUGCAUCUAUUGGCAUGAUCAUAUGGUUUUUAUACCUCCAUUUAUUAAUGUGAUGUAUCAAACUGAUUGACUUGCAAAUAAUGAAGAAUGCUUACAUCCCUGGGAUAAAUCAUGAUAUAUGAUCCUUUAAUGAAUUGUUGGAAUCAGUUUGCUAGUAUUUUGUUGAGGACUUUGCAUUUUAUGUUUAUCAGUGAUAGUGGCCUGUAUGUGGUAUUCCUUUCUGUGGUAUUUUUGUCUGAUUUUGCUAUCAAGGUGAUGGUGGCCUGAUAGAAUUGAGUUCAAAAGCAUUCCUACCUCUGAAAUUCUUUGGAAUAGUUUAAGAAGUAUAGGUGUUAGCUUGUCUGUAAAUGUUUGAUAGAAUUUGCCUGUGAAGCUGUCUACUCCUGCACUUUUGUUGGGAGUUUUUCCUUUUUUUUUGUAGGGCUACACAGGUGGCUUAUGGAGGUUCCCAGGCUAGGGGUUGAAUUGGAGCUGCAGCUGUCGGCUUACACCACAGCCACAGCCACAGCAACAUGGGAUCUGAGCAGGAUCUGCAACCUACACCACAGCUCAUGGCAAUGCUAGAUCCCCAACGCACUGAACAAGGCCAGGGACCUAAUCCGCAUCCUCAUGGAUACUAGUCAGGUUCCUUACCACUGAGCCACAACAGGAAUGGGAGUUUUUAAAUCACAAAUUCAGUUUCAUUGUUUGCAAUUGCUAUGUUCAUAUCUUCAAUUUCUUUCUUGUUCAGUCUUGGGAGAUUGUACCUUUCUAAGAAAUUGUCUAUUUCUUCUAAGUUGUUGAUCCUAUUGGCUUAUUGUUGCUUAUGGUCCUAUGUAUUUUUGUAAUGUCAGGUUUAACUUCUUUUUCAUUUCUAAUUGUAUUGAUUUGGGCUCUCUCACUUUUUUUUCUUGUGUCUGGCUAAAGUUUUAUUGAUUUUGUUUAUCUUUUGAAAGAACCAGCUUUUAGUUUUGUUGAUCUCGUCUACUGUUUUUUAGUCAUUAUUUCUACUCCAAUCUUUGUAAUGUCUUUUCUUCUAUUAAUUUUGGAUUUUGUUUGUUCUUCCUUAUCUAGUUGCUUAGGUGUAAGGUUAGAUUUAGGUGUAAGGUUUGCUUGAGAUUUUUUUUAUUGAUUCUGGAGGUAAGCUUGUAUUGCUGUAAACUUUCCUUUUAGAACUGCUUUUGCUUUGUCCCAUAGGUUUUUGAUAAUCGUGGUUUCAUUUUCAUUUCUCCCUAGGUGUUUUUUUUAUUUCCUCUUUGAUCUUUACAGUGACCCAUUAGUUUUUUACUAGCAUAUUGUUUAGCCUCCAUGUGUUUGUGUUUUUCACAAUUAUUGUAGUUGAUUUUUAAUAUCACAAUGUUGUAGUCAGAAAAGGUACUUAAUAAAAUUUCAAUUUUCAUAAAUUUACUAAGGCUUGCUUUGUGGCCUAGCAUGGGACAUAUCCUUGAGAAUAAUCCAUGUGCACUUUGACAAGAAUGUGUAUCCUGGUGAUUUUGGAUGACAUGCUCUAUAAAUAUCAGUUAAGUCUAUCUGGUGUAAUGCAUUAUUUAAGGUCUUUGUUUCUUUAUUGCUUUUCUGUGUAGAUGAUCUGUCCAUUGAUGAUAAAGUCCCCCACUAUUGUUGUGUUACUGCCUAUCUCUCCUUUUAUGUCUGUUAACAUUUGCCUUUAUAUUGAGGUUUUCUUAUGUUGGGUGCAUACACAUUUAUACUUGUUCUAUCUUUUUCUUGGACCAAUUCAUUGAUCAUGAUGUAGUGUACUUCUUUGUCUCUUGUAAUAGUCCCUAUUUUAAAGUCUAUUUUGUCUGUUAUGAAUACUGCUACUCCAGCUUUAUUUUUAUUUCCAUUUACAUGGAAUACCUUCUUAUAUCUCCCCACUUUUAGUCUGUAUAUAUCUCUAGAACUGAAGUGGGUCUCUUGUAGCCGAAAAGCUGAAAGCAUGCCUCUAAGAUCAGGAACAAGACAAGGCAGUCCACUCUCAUCAUUUUUAUUCGAUAUAGAUGUGGAAGUCAUAGCCACAGCAAUUAGAAAGAAAAAGAAAUAAAAGGACUCCAAAUUGGAAAAGAAGUAAAAUUGUCACUGUUUGCAGAUGACAUGAUACUAUACAUAGAAAAUCCUAAAGACACUACCAUAAAACUAUUAGAGCUCAUCAAGGAAUGUGGUAAAGUUUCAGGAUAUGAAAUUAAUACACAGAAAUCUCUUACAUGCCUAUGUACUAACAAUGAAAGGUCAGAAAGAGAAAUUAAGGAAAAAUCCCAUUUACACUGCAUCAAAAAGAAUAAAACACUUAGGAAUAAACCUAGCUAAGGAGGAAAAAGACUUGUACCCCGAACACUAAAAUAGAAUGACAAAAGAAAUUGAAGACCAG